CCUACGGGAGGCAGCAGUGGGGAAUAUUGCACAAUGGGGGAAACCCUGAUGCAGCGAAGCCGCGUGAGUGAAGAAGUAAUUAGGUAUGUAAAGCUCUAUCAGCAGGGAAGAAAAUGACGGUACCUGAGUAAGAAGCCCCGGCUCACUACAUGCCAGCAGCCGCGGUAAUACGUAGGGGGCAAGCGUUAUCCGGAUUUACUGGGUGUAAAGGGAGCGUAGACGGCAGUGCAAGUCUGGAGUGAAAGGCGGUGGCUCAACCCACGGACUGCUCUGGAAACUGUACGGCUGGAGUGCAGGAGGGGUAAGUGGAAUUCCUGGUGUAGCGGUGAAAUGCGUAGAUAUUAGGAGGAACACCAGUGGCGAAGGCAGCAUACGGCAGCGCUACUGACGCUGAAGCUCGAAGGCGCGGGUAUCGAACAGGAUUAGAUACCCCAGUAGUC
rnacentral:rRNA from 1 species